GUCUCAUAUAUAGAACUGUUGCUACUCACUCCACAGAAUACGAUAAACUAUAAAUGGCAGCAGAGUAGACUGAUAACAUUUUCAAGAGAAACUCUCCAAAACAAUAAAAUCCUAUCAAUUUAGGCUUAUCACUGAAAAUAUUUGCCCCUGAAUACAUACGCCAUUGAAGAGAAGGAAGCAGGAGAGAAACAUCAAGAUGGCCAAUGAAAGAUGGUGACAUUCCAGUACAGGGAAUGGCUUAUGACUCUUCAUCAAUAGUAGAUUUUCUACCUGACCUAUAAACACAAAAUCAAUGCCAUAUAUCUUGUUGCUUUUUAAAAAAAAAAACUUACAAUAAAUAAUUGUUAUGUGUUGGA